CACUAGGAGGACCUAGACUCUUGCAGCUUGAACUGUUAACCAAUGGUGGAAAUGCAAGAAUGCUGAAGUUGUGCCUUCGGAGCCAAUAGAGUGGAUUUGUGUGUCCCACAUGACUGUGUUUCCCCUGUCUUUCACAUGGGCAGUAUUUAGUUCAAUUCAGAACUGCAGAUAGUAUAGCAUGCAGAGCAGCAAUGGGAUGUCUGAGCACAAGUGGCUGACUUCCAGGCGACUUCAGGAAGCACAGUUGUACAUUUCUCCUGAUUUAAACUGGGAUUCUGCACCCUUGACAUCCUCCGACCCUCCUUGUCUCUGCAGGAGGAGACAGCGACCUGCACAGCACAACAAAACUACAAAUCAUCAGAGCUACAGACCAGAAAAUGAAGUGAACUGAGGGCAAUUUGACCAACAUCAUCUGUGUUGAUUCCGCAGAAGUCGAUGGAACAUGUUAUCAGGUCUCCAAGGUACAUCCCAGAGAUUAGUUGGUUGUGCCAUACAAUUAGCAAAUGAUUAAAACAAGCUGUUUUCUUCGAUUACAUUGAGAUACUUGCAGCAGUGAGAGCCACUGCUUUCUACAGAAUAGUGUACCUUCCCAAAUCAUGCUGUUUAUUAGCACUUCAUUAACAAUGUAUCACCUCAGCCAAACGAUCAGGCAGCACAGUGGCCUCAGGUACAAUGAAAAGAUCAUUACGGAACUCCACCUGCCUCAUUUGGACAAAUCAAAAUAAAGAAGAAAAACACCAACCCUUGAACAAGGUAGAAACCCAUCUGGAGAUGGAUAACAACGUCUGUUUCUUUUGAGGCUUUGUGGCAACAAGUGCAAGAAAAAUUACUCAUUUCUCUUCAGCUGAAUUCUGUUAUAUGACAGGGAAGUGAACACUUGCAACCUUGAUCCAUGGCAAGUAAAUGAAUCCAGUACUAGAUUUUAGAAGAAUCUGAGUCAUGUGGAUGCACAGGAUCAGUAGAAAGCCAUUCUGAUGAUCACAGUUUUCAAGGACUCCACUUCAAAGAAGUAGCUACAUAUGACAGAUACCAGAUAAAGUAUGCCAGCUCUGUACAAACAUCAUCUGGGUGGUGAAAGCUCGGGGCAGCUGGACUGCUUUACAGCACAACACCCAUAUCUUCAAUUUAGGUCAGGCCAUGAAGAGGAGGAAAAGGACUGAAGACUGAAGAUGAGAUGCUCUAAUUCACACAGUUGCCCUCUGGAAGGACUGGCAAAGGAAGACACUUAAAUUAAGUACAGGUCAUCAAACAAGAUACCUAAUCUAUUCCUAGAGACAGGCAGCUCUAGCAGUCCAAAUCCCUAUGGCCUUUACAGCAACACAAUGAACUACUUCCUCAUGUACCUCUGUCAAUUCAUGUUAGGUUCCAAUUUUUUUAAAGCGAUAUUUCAUGUACAUCAUGACCCUAUUGCUCAUAGCAAGGAAAGUGCUUUGGUUUAUUUAUGACCUACUAACCUUAAAUAAAAAAAAAACAUACAUCCAAUCUGAAUGUUCACAUAAGCCUGCAGAUCUGAAAUAAAAUUUAAAAUAAAGCUGGCAUGUGUAACAGCUAGCUAAGCCCAGUAAGGGAUUUUAAAAAAAAUGAAAACCAGAUGAGAGAAGAUGAAAGCAUUUUUACCCUGCAUAACCUGCACACAUCAGGAAUCAUGGCUGGAGCUCAGGAACACUUUUUUGUGUUUUUGUACUUACAAGUUUCAGCCUGUUUCAACAGAGGAUAUGUAACCAAGGAAAUACUGAUGUUUUUCCAUUAUGGGGGGUGGGGAGGAAAUAAUAACCACCUGUGAAAGUAAUUCCUUCUAAGAUGCAGUCCACCCAGCUGCAAGUUCUACAUAGCUCCUCUCCUUGCCCUAUACCUAACUGCCAGGUAUCAGCCCAGCAUGACCCCAUAUUGAAAUAUCAAGUGAAAGAUGGAAGCAGGGAAUAACAGCAUAGGAAUAAGUACUGAAAGAAAUGGUAUACAGAAAUAAAGUUUAUAAUAAGGCUGAUGUUAAAUAUGAGCAACUUUAAACCAUAAAGUCUAUUCCUUUGGCUAGAACAAUGUUGAACAGAUGCAGAUGUACAGAAGACUAAUGAGUUGGAGAACCUUAUUCUCUCAUCAUUCAUGCUGGUGUAAGGAACUCCUUUCAUGGAAUUAAUUCCUGGAAUUAAACUAUGGAAAAGCUGGUACAAAAAUUGAAAAAUAAAAAAAAAAAAAAUAUCAGGCUUUGGAGAUAAAAUAUUGGCAGCAAAUAUCCCAUGCUUCUGUAGCAGCAAAAAAGAAAAAAAUGUUUACUGCCACAUUUGGUUAAAAUUCAGAUAUAUUCAUAUAAUCAGUGGCCUUCCUAAACAUAGAACAUCUAAUCUACCAUAAAGGAGAAAAUUAGUUUAUUCCAUUCUUGUCUAGUUCUCUAACAGGCUAUAUUAAUGACUCUGUCCUCUAGAUAUAUUUGAUAGAAAAUACAGUUGAGUUAAAUCAUAUAAUAAAUACAUCUACAUGAAGAGCAAUUAGUUGAAACAGCUAGGACAAAGUCCUUGUCAUGGUGUUUGUUUACAAAAUAGACACAGGCAGCACACUUAUGACCUACAUCUUUUGGUGCUUGUUCCCUUUAUGCAAGUACAAAGAAAUUCAACAAAACCCCCAGCAUUCAUAAAUAUUUUUAAAUUAAUCAGAAAUGGAUGAGAAAGAGUAUAAGACAUUUUUUACUAAAGAACGAGGUAGACAAACAACAGAGCAUAGAAGCUAAUGAAUCAGUCACAAUUCCAGUGCAGCAAGAUAAGAGUGGACCUAGCAAAAAAGAAUUCAGACCAGCUGAGCUGCAAGACCACCUUCUUCAGGAGAACUCUGCUCACAAAUGAAAAUAAGAAAGAAGUUUGGAAAACUGCCAGCUCCCUGCACAAAGGCUGAAAUAAGAUGGGCAGAGAAGGUUGUUGAUGUUGACAUUUGAGGAUGCUGUCAAGUCAAUGGAGUUCUGUUGUAGUGGUUGCUUCAGUGAACAUUCAACGCUGUCGGCCUUAACACCGAAGAUAGCAACCUAACCACCACACGAUGUUUCUCCCCCACCCUGCCAAGCUUUACAAAAAAGGUCACAAUCAACAUUCAUUGCUGUCGGUGGGUUUAACUAUGUGGACAAGCUCACUGAACAAUGAAUGCAACUGUGGCCCCACAUUUUACAGUUGCCGUUGAGAGGAACAUCAGCUCCGAAAGCAGUAGUGAGAAGCAAACACUUAUAGGAUACAUUUUCUCUGGUCAAAAAAAACAGUUGGGAAUAUCCACCUUUUGCUUGCUUGUUUUUAAGUUUAAUUCAGCUGACUAGAAAAAAAAAAAAAAAAAAAAAAAAAAUCACUGCUUCUUCACGGAAUAUUAUCCUCCAGGGGUUCAGCAUCAUUGAAAACAAAAAUUCUUAUUCAGUAUGUAUGUGGAAAUAAAUAAGAAUACAGAGAAUCUUGUGUAUAUCCACUCCUAAGGGCUCUGAGCCUAAAAGGAAAGAAUAUUUAAAUCUCAUUUUAACCAGUUGUUGUGGAAUAGUUCAAAAAUUUCUUCUACACUUGUCAUGACAAAACCAAAUGGGAGUUAAACUUCAAGAUUCAGAUAAAAUGUUAUGUAAAAUAAAAGAUUAAGUUUAUAUGAAACUGAUUUUAAGCAGCUAAAUAAGUACUAUUAGAUAGAAAAUUACAUUUGCCUUCUUUAGGGAUCUGAAAGAUGACAGAUAUAAGUAUAUCCAGAAAUAAUAAUGGAACGGUAAUUAAAUUAUAAAAUUACUGUAAACUUUGGGUGCCUAUGUCACACUCUUGAUAUUGCUGAUAGUAAUAAGAAAAUAAAAGUGUAAAUAAACCUCA